CCCCGAAAUACAGUGGCGGUCUCGCCGCAGCCUCUCCUGCGCAGUAGUUUGCACACUCGCAUCGGGAGCGCGGCGCGUCCAAUGCCGUAAAACACCCAACUUUCUGAAAUGUUGACCUCGGAUCAGGUAGGAAUACCCGCUGAACUUAAGCAUAUCAAUAAGCGGAGGAAAAGAAACCAACAGGGAUUGCCCCAGUAACGGCGAGUGAAGCGGCAACAGCUCAAAUUUGAAAUCUGGCCCCUCGGGGUCCGAGUUGUAAUUUGUAGAGGAUGCUUUUGGUGAGGUGCCGCCCGAGUUCCCUGGAACGGGACGCCACAGAGGGUGAGAGCCCCGUCUGGCUGGCCACCGAGCCUCUGUAAAGCUCCUUCGACGAGUCGAGUAGUUUGGGAAUGCUGCUCAAAAUGGGAGGUAUAUGUCUUCUAAAGCUAAAUAUUGGCCAGAGACCGAUAGCGCACAAGUAGAGUGAUCGAAAGAUGAAAAGCACCUUGAAAAGAGGGUUAAAUAGUACGUGAAAUUGUUGAAAGGGAAGCGCUUGUGACCAGACUUGGGCGCGGCGGAUCAUCCGGGGUUCUCUCCGGUGCACUUCGCCGCGUCUAGGCCAGCAUCAGUUCGCCGCGGGGGAAAAAGGCUUCGGGAACGUGGCUCCUCCGGGAGUGUUAUAGCCCGUUGCAUAAUACCCUGCGGUGGACUGAGGACCGCGCAUCUGCAAGGAUGCUGGCGUAAUGGUCACCAGCGACCCGUCUUGAAACACGGACCAAGGAGUCGUCUUCGUAUGCGAGUGUUCGGGUGUCAAACCCCUACGCGUAAUGAAAGUGAACGCAGGUGAGAGCUUCGGCGCAUCAUCGACCGAUCCUGAUGUUCUCGGAUGGAUUUGAGUAAGAGCAUACGGGGCCGGACCCGAAAGAAGGUGAACUAUGCCUGUAUAGGGUGAAGCCAGAGGAAACUCUGGUGGAGGCUCGCAGCGGUUCUGACGUGCAAAUCGAUCGUCAAAUAUGGGCAUGGGGGCGAAAGACUAAUCGAACCUUCUAGUAGCUGGUUUCCGCGAU
rnacentral:rRNA from 1 species